CCCACUCGCAUGUUGUGUCAAACAGUCAAUUUUAGUGUAUUUCCGAGCUCGGUGGUGUAUUUGAACGGCUAGCCGCGGUCACACUGAAGCAAAAACAUUUUUGGCUCGGAGAACGAUUAACACAAGCGGACUGAAAUUUUUUUGUUUUAGUGUUGCGAAAAAGUUUGUGGGAUUUUUCUAAAAUCGCCGGAAAAUGUGAAAAAUAUAUGUUAAUGUGCAAUGUUAGAGCGGCAAAUGUCGGCAGAAGCAGCAGCAGCAACAACAUCAACAUCAGCAUCGACAAAAACAUCAGCAGCAGCAGCCGAA